AGCGAACGCUGGCGGCAGGCCUAACACAUGCAAGUCGAACGGACCCUUCGGGGUUAGUGGCGGACGGGUGAGUAACACGUGGGAACGUGCCUUUAGGUUCGGAAUAGCUCCUGGAAACGGGUGGUAAUGCCGAAUGUGCCCUUAGGGGGAAAGAUUUAUCGCCUUUAGAGCGGCCCGCGUCUGAUUAGCUAGUUGGUGGGGUAAUGGCCCACCAAGGCUACGAUCAGUAGCUGGUCUGAGAGGAUGACCAGCCACAUUGGGACUGAGACACGGCCCAAACUCCUACGGGAGGCAGCAGUGGGGAAUCUUGCGCAAUGGGCGAAAGCCUGACGCAGCCAUGCCGCGUGGAUGAUGAAGGUCUUAGGAUUGUAAAAUCCUUUCACCGGUGAAGAUAAUGACUGUAGCCGGAGAAGAAGCCCCGGCUAACUUCGUGCCAGCCGCCGCGGUAAAAC
rnacentral:rRNA from 1 species